rnacentral:snRNA from 1 species
GGAUAUGAAGACAAUAUGGCUGCAGCAUCUGUCAUCCCAUUGAUAAGCAGGGUUGAUUCAGCUGAUCUGGCUAGCUAGGCAGGUGUCCCCUUCCUCUCUCACUACUCCAUAUGCUUCCUUUCCAAAGCUGCAAGCUCGAGCUCAGUGAAAGAGGACAACUGGCCCCUAUAGGCUGAUGCAAAAGUAAUUGCAGUUUCAGACCACGAACUUUAUUUUUUUAUUU